rnacentral:misc_RNA from 1 species
CGCACAUUGCGCCCAUUAGUAUUCUAGUGGGCAUGCCUGUUCGGGCGUCAUUUCAACCCUUAAGCCCUCGUUGCUUAGUGUUGGGAGCCUACAGAGCACUGUAGCUCCCCAAAGUUAGUGGCGGAGUCGGUUCACACUCUAGACGUAGUAAAUUUUCACCUCGCCUGUAGUUGGACCGGUCCCCUGCCGUAAAACACCCCAAUAUCUCAAGGUUGACCUCGGAUCAGGUAGGAAUACCCGCUGAACUUAA